AUGUUUCGUAUUGCGUCAGAUAACAACAUUGACGAAUACGCUGAUUCGGUGUGCGAGUUCAUUAGAACGUGUGUUGAAGAUGUCGUUCCCAUAGCAACGAUUAAAACAUUCCCUAACCAGAAACCGUGGAUUGAUGGCAGCAUUCGUGUGAAACUGAAAGCGCGAACCACUGCUUUUAAUCAGGGCAAGGUGUCUGGUAACAUGACCGAAUACAAACAGUGCAGCUAUUCCCUCCGCAAGGCUAUCAAACAAGCUAAGCGCCAGUACAGAGACAAAGUAGAAUCUCAAUUCAACGGCUCAGACACAAGAGGCAUGUGGCAGGGUCUACAGUCAAUCACGGACUACAGGAAGAAAUCCAGCCCAGUCACGGACCAGGAUGUCUUGCUCCCAGGCAGACUAAAUAACUGUUUUGCCCGCUUUGAGGACAAUACUGUGCCACUGACACGGCCUGCAACGAAAACAUGCGGUCUCUCCUUCACUGCAGCCGAGGUGAGUAAGACAUUUAAACGUGUUAACCCUCGCAAGGCUGCAGGCCCAGACGGCAUCCCCAGCCGUGCCCUCAGAGCAUGCGCAGACCAGCUGGCCUGUGUGUUUCCGGACAUAUUCAAUCAAUCCCUAUACCAGUCUGCUGUUCCCACAUGCUUCAAGAGGGCCACCAUUGUUCCUGUUCCCAAGAAAGCUAAGGUAACUGAGCUAAACGACUUCCGCCCCGUAGCACUCACAUCCGUCAUCAUGAAGUGCUUUGAGAGACUAGUCAAGGACCAUAUCACCUCCACCCUACCUGACACCCUAGACCCACUCCAAUUUGCUUACCGCCCAAAUAGGUCCACAGACGAUGCAAUCUCAACCACACUGCACACUGCCCUAACCCAUCUGGACAAGAGGAAUACCUAUGUGAGAAUGCUGUUCAUCGACUACAGCUCGGCAUUCAACACCAUAGUACCCUCCAAGCUCGUCAUCAAGCUCGAGACCCUGGGUCUCGACCCCGCCCUGUGCAACUGGGUACUGGACUUCCUGACGGCCGCCCCCAGGUGGUGA
rnacentral:lncRNA from 1 species